GGCGCAUUCUUCUAACGGUUAGGAAGCGGGAUUCUCAUUCCUGAAAUAGCAGUUCGAUUCUGCUAUGCGCUA
rnacentral:tRNA from 3 species